GACGAACGCUGGCGGCGUGCUUAACACAUGCAAGUCGAACGGAAAGGCCCUGCUUUUGUGGGGUGCUCGAGUGGCGAACGGGUGAGUAACACGUGAGUAACCUGCCCUUGACUUUGGGAUAACUUCAGGAAACUGGGGCUAAUACCGGAUAGGAGCUCCUGCUGCAUGGUGGGGGUUGGAAAGUUUCGGCGGUUGGGGAUGGACUCGCGGCUUAUCAGCUUGUUGGUGGGGUAGUGGCUUACCAAGGCUUUGACGGGUAGCCGGCCUGAGAGGGUGACCGGCCACAUUGGGACUGAGAUACGGCCCAGACUCCUACGGGAGGCAGCAGUGGGGAAUAUUGCACAAUGGGCGGAAGCCUGAUGCAGCAACGCCGCGUGCGGGAUGACGGCCUUCGGGUUGUAAACCGCUUUCGCCUGUGACGAAGCGUGAGUGACGGUAAUGGGUAAAGAAGCACCGGCUAACUACGUGCCAGCAGCCGCGGUGAUACGUAGGGUGCGAGCGUUGUCCGGAUUUAUUGGGCGUAAAGGGCUCGUAGGUGGUUGAUCGCGUCGGAAGUGUAAUCUUGGGGCUUAACCCUGAGCGUGCUUUCGAUACGGGUUGACUUGAGGAAGGUAGGGGAGAAUGGAAUUCCUGGUGGAGCGGUGGAAUGCGCAGAUAUCAGGAGGAACACCAGUGGCGAAGGCGGUUCUCUGGGCCUUUCCUGACGCUGAGGAGCGAAAGCGUGGGGAGCGAACAGGCUUAGAUACCCUGGUAGUCCACGCUGUAAACGGUGGGUACUAGGUGUGGGGUCCAUUCCACGGGUUCCGUGCCGUAGCUAACGCUUUAAGUACCCCGCCUGGGGAGUACGGCCGCAAGGCUAAAACUCAAAGGAAUUGACGGGGCCCCGCACAAGCGGCGGAGCAUGCGGAUUAAUUCGAUGCAACGCGUAGAACCUUACCUGGGUUUGACAUGGAUCGGGAGCGCUCAGAGAUGGGUGUGCCUCUUUUGGGGUCGGUUCACAGGUGGUGCAUGGCUGUCGUCAGCUCGUGUCGUGAGAUGUUGGGUUAAGUCCCGCAACGAGCGCAACCCUUGUUCACUGUUGCCAGCACGUUAUGGUGGGGACUCAGUGGAGACCGCCGGGGUCAACUCGGAGGAAGGUGGGGAUGACGUCAAGUCAUCAUGCCCCUUAUGUCCAGGGCUUCACGCAUGCUACAAUGGCUGGUACAGAGAGUGGCGAGCCUGUGAGGGUGAGCGAAUCUCGGAAAGCCGGUCUCAGUUCGGAUUGGGGUCCGCAACUCGACCUCAUGAAGUCGGAGUCGCUAGUAAUCGCAGAUCAGCAACGCUGCGGUGAAUACGUUCCCGGGGCU
rnacentral:rRNA from 1 species